rnacentral:misc_RNA from 1 species
CAACCCUCAAGCUCUGCUUGGUAUUGGGCCCUGCCACGCUGGCAGGCCUUAAAAUCAGUGGCGGUGCCAUCUCGGCUCUAAGCGUAGUACAUCUCUCGCUCUGGAGGCCUGGUGGUGUCUGUCAGAUAACCUUCAUUAUCUUCUAU